rnacentral:rRNA from 1 species
GAUGAACGCUGGCGGCGUGCCUAAUACAUGCAAGUCGAGCGGACAGACGAGGAGCUUGCUCCUCUGACGUUAGCGGCGGACGGGUGAGUAACACGUGGAUAACCUACCUAUAAGACUGGGAUAACUUCGGGAAAGCGGAGCUAAUACAGGAUAAUAUAUUGAACCGGAUGGUUCAAUAGUGAAAGACGGUUUUGCUGUCACUUGUAGAUGUAUCCGCGCCGCAUUAGCUAGUUGGUAAGGUAACGGCUUACCAAGGCAACGAUGCGUAGCCGACCUGAGAGGGUGAUCAGCCACACUGGAACUGAGACACGGUCCAGACUCCUACGGGAGGCAGCAGUAGGGAAUCUUCCGCAAUGGGCGAAAGCCUGACGGAGCAACGCCGCGUGAGUGAUGAAGGUCUUCGGAUCGUAAAACUCUGUUAUUAGGGAAGAACAAAUGUGUAAGUAACUAUGCAUGUCUUGACGUUACCUACUCAGAAAGCCACGGCUAACUACGUG